rnacentral:rRNA from 1 species
GAUGAACGCUGGCGGCGUGCCUAAUACAUGCAAGUCGAACGCACAGCGAAAGGUGCUUGCACCUUUCAAGUGAGUGGCGAACGGGUGAGUAACACGUGGACAACCUGCCUCAAGGCUGGGGCUAACAUUUGGAAACAGAUGCUAAUACCGAAUAAAACUCAGUGUCGCAUGACACAAUGUUAAAAGGCGCUUUGGCGUCACCUAGAGAUGGAUCCGCGGUGCAUUAGUUAGUUGGUGGGGUAAAGGCCUACCAAGACAAUGAUGCAUAGCCGAGUUGAGAGACUGAUCGGCCACAUUGGGACUGAGACACGGCCCAAACUCCUACGGGAGGCUGCAGUAGGGAAUCUUCCACAAUGGGCGAAAGCCUGAUGGAGCAACGCCGCGUGUGUGAUGAAGGCUUUCGGGUCGUAAAGCACUGUUGUAUGGGAAGAACAGCUAGAAUAGGGAAUGAUUUUAGUUUGACGGUACCAUACCAGAAAGGGACGGCUAAAUACGUGCCAGCAGCCGCCGUAA